rnacentral:lncRNA from 1 species
GAAUAAAAAAUGGAAUUGAGAAUGCAAGAUAAAAAAUGAGGUUGAAAAUAUAAGACAAAGAAUGAAUUUGGAAAAAUAGGAUACGAAUCACAAAAUAAAGAAUACAAGAAAAAAAAACAAGGCUAGCAACAUAAGACAUGAAACACAUGAAAGAAAUAUGGAUUAGAAAGGAAAGACAAAAAACAAGGGCUGAAAAUGGAGGAUAUAGAACAAAGAAUUGAUGAUAGAGGACAUGAAAUGAGAGAUGCUUGGAUUAGAUUUUCUUUAAAAAAAAGUCGAUCUUAGAGCUUUUUUAGUAUAAUAGAAUGAAAGGACUUGCCAAAUUCUACAAAGAAUAAUAUAAAAGAAAUAGUGCCCUUUCAUAGAGAAUAGUUGUGGCUAUUAUAUAAAAAUAGAUAAA